GCCCUUCCACGAAAUAUUUAAUAAGAAUUUUUUUAAAUGUUUAUGAAUUUUCGAAAAUUCCGCCCGACAACCGAUCAGACAAUAGUUUUAAGUUGAAUCAAUGCAGACAAGAUCAUUAACUGAUGCUCAUUAGCUAGUUGAUACAUUUGUCUUUUAAAAUACAACUGACAUAUAAGGAUCGUAAUGGUGCAAAGUGGAUAAAUUUAUCGGUUUCCAAGAGCAAAAUUGGCAGCGCGUCAUCCCUACAAUGGCUUCCAUUUCCACGAUUGUGAAAAUGAACUGGCGUAAUGGGGAGAUAAUUUUGACGAAGUAGAAUC
rnacentral:lncRNA from 1 species